rnacentral:rRNA from 1 species
AUGGAUGUCCUGCAGAAGCUCGAGAAGCUCAAGCACAAGAAGAAGCGCCUCGUGCAGUCCCCCGACUACUUCCUCAUGGAUGUCAAGUCCCAGGGCUGCUUCAACAUAACGACCGUGUUCAGCCACUCUCAGACCAUGGUGGUGUGCCCAGGUUGGGAGACGGUGCUCUGCCGGCCUACAGGAGGAAAGGCGAGGCUCACUGAGGGAUGCUCCUUCUGCCGCAAGGGCAACAAAGGGUGUGUUUGGUUCUCGUAG